UACGAAGGGGGCUAGCGUUGCUCGGAAUCACUGGGCGUAAAGGGCGCGUAGGCGGAUCUUUAAGUCGGGGGUGAAAGCCCCCGGCUCAACUGGGGAGGGUCACGCGAUACUGAUCGACUCGAAGGCAGGAGAGGGUAGUGGAAUUCCCGGUGUAGUGGUGAAAUGCGUAGAUAUCGGGAGGAACACCAGUGGCGAAGGCGACUACCUGGCCUGUUCUUGACGCUGAGGCGCGAAAGCUAGGGGAGCAAACGGG
rnacentral:rRNA from 1 species